rnacentral:rRNA from 1 species
CACAAGCGGAACGGCGUGGAACCGCCGGCGACACAGGGUGAAAGCCCCGUACGCGAACGUGUAACCGGCCGGGUGGGAUCCUGAGUACGACCCAACACGUGGAAGUGGGUCCGAAUCCGCGGGGACCAUCCCGCAAGGCUAAAUACUCCCCGGCGACCGAUAGCGUAGAGUAGCGCGAGCGAACG